GAUUUCAACUAAAAAAGUCAUCAACAACAAAGUUAUAUAACUCAUCAAGAUCUAUAACUUUUAUUUUUGUUAUUUCUUCAUCUGACAAAGUGUUAGUAAUAUUGUUCACAAAAUUGACAUAUCUGUGAUAUAGUUUAUAAAACCAGAUGAGAGGUAUGUGAAUUUUAUGAACAAUGUUACUAUCACUUUGUCGGAUGAAGAAAUAACCAAAAUAAAAGUUAUAGAUCUUGAUGAGUUAUACAACUUUGUUGGUCAUGACUUUUUCAGUUGAAAUC
rfam:Oryza glaberrima chromosome 12 Oglab12_0078_7, whole genome shotgun sequence.